GCUCAGGGUGUCGAGGUUGUCGUGCUUCGUUAGAGUUCAGCUGAUGGUGGCCAGGUGACUGGUUGCUGUUGGUGCAUUCUGUAAUGGAGUUUGACCGUCAGUUGGGAAGACGAUGAGGUCUGUUCAUCGGCCGUCGGGAGGUAUGCCUUUCUGAGCCUUGUGCAAAGCUGGGUAACGUACAGCCUUCGGUCGUGGCCUUAUUUGUCUUUCAGGUGCGUUGGAUGUCUUUUCGUCCGUAAGUGGAAGGUGCAGCCUCCCCUUGUGGGGGGUCGGGGCCGCUUGACAGUUGCUGCUUGCCGAUACUGUGUGUUCCGUUUUCUCUCCGUUAUGUCUUCGGCUUGCGGAGUGGGAAACGGCACUAUUGUCGGUCGGUUGUCCUGUCAGUGUGCGU
rnacentral:rRNA from 2 species